GACGAACGCUGGCGGCGUGCUUAACACAUGCAAGUCGAACGGUAAGGCCCUUCGGGGUACACGAGUGGCGAACGGGUGAGCAACACGUGGGUGAUCUGCCCUGCACUUCGGGAUAAGCCUGGGAAACUGGGUCUAACACCGGAUCGGACUCCUGGCUUCAUGGUUGGGGGUGGAAAGCUUUUGCGGUGUGGGAUGGGCCCGCGGCCUAUCAGCUUGUUGGUGGGGUAAUGGCCUACCAAGGCGACGACGGGUAGCCGGGCUGAGGGGGUGACCGGUCACACUGGGACUGAGAUACGGCCCAGACUGGUACGGGAGGCAGCAGUGGGGAAUAUUGCACAAUGGGCGCAAGCCUGAUGCAGCGACGCCGCGUGAGGGAUGACGGCCUUCGGGUUGUAAACCUCUUUCAGCUAUGACGAAGCGCAAGUGACGGUAGUAGCAGAAGAAGGACCGGCCAACUACGUGCCAGCCGCCGCGGUAA
rnacentral:rRNA from 1 species